rnacentral:rRNA from 1 species
CCUUCGGGGAACGUUAAGGGCGGCGAGCGGCGGACGGGUGAGUAAUGCCUGGGAAUAUGCCCUGAUGUGGGGGAUAACUAUUGGAAACGAUAGCUAAUACCGCAUAAUCUCUUCGGAGCAAAGAGGGGGACCUUCGGGCCUCUCGCGUCAGGAUUAGCCCAGGUGGGAUUAGCUUGUUGGUGAGGUAAUGGCUCACCAAGGCAACGAUCCCUAGCUGGUCUGAGAGGAUGAUCAGCCACACUGGAACUGAGACACGGUCCAGACUCCUACGGGAGGCAGCAGUGGGGAAUAUUGCACAAUGGGGGAAACCCUGAUGCAGCCAUGCCGCGUGUGUGAAGAAGGCCUUCGGGUUGUAAAGCACUUUCAGUAGGGAGGAAGGUAGUGUAGUUAACACCUGCAUUAUUUGACGUUACCUACAGAAGAAGCACCGGCUAACUCCGUGCCAGCAGCCGCGGUAAUACGGAGGGUGCGAGCGUUAAUCGGAAUUACUGGGCGUAAAGCGCAUGCAGGCGGCCUGUUAAGUCAGAUGUGAAAGCCCGGGGCUUAACCUC